rnacentral:snRNA from 1 species
GGGCUCGCUUCAGCAGCACAUAUACUAAAGUUGGAAUGAUACAGAGAAGAUUAGCAUGGCCCCUGAACAAGGAUGACACGCAAAUUCGUAAAGCAUUCCAUAUUUUU